rnacentral:rRNA from 1 species
GUAAACGAUGAUAACUCGUUGUUGGGCUGAAACAGCUCAGUGGCUAAGCGAAAGCGAUAAGUUAUCCACCUGGGGAGUACGAUCGCAAGGUUGAAACUCAAAGGAAUUGACGGGGGCCCGCACAAGCGGAGGAGCAUGUGGUUUAAUUCGAUGAUACGCGAGGAACCUUACCCGGGCUCGAACGUAUGAUGAAUAAUAUGGAAACAUGUUAGUCGAAAGACAUUAUACGAGGUGCUGCAUGGUUGUCGUCAGCUCGUGCCGUGAGGUGUCAGGUUAAGUCCUAUAACGAGCGCAACCCCUACUGUUAGUUGCCAGCAUGUAAAGAUGGGGACUCUAGCGGAACUGCCUACGCAAGUAGAGAGGAGGGUGGGGAUGACGUCAAAUCAGCACGGCCCUUAUGUCCGGGGCGACACACGUGCUACAAUGGUCGAUACAGAGGGCAGCUACUUAGUGAUAAGGUGCAAAUCUCAAAAAUCGAUCUCAGUUCGGAU